rnacentral:rRNA from 1 species
GAUGAACGCUGGCGGCGUGCCUAACACAUGCCAGUCGAACGGAGUCGUUUUGGAAAUCUCUUCGGAGAUGGAAUUCUCGACUUAGUGGCGGACGGGUGAGUAACGCGUGAGCAAUCUGCCUUUAAGAGGGGGAUAACAGUCGGAAACGGCUGCUAAUACCGCAUAAAGCAUUAAAUUCGCAUGUUUUUGAUGCCAAAGGAGCAAUCCGCUUUUAGAUGAGCUCGCGUCUGAUUAGCUAGUUGGCGGGGUAACGGCCCACCAAGGCGACGAUCAGUAGCCGGACUGAGAGGUUGAACGGCCACAUUGGGACUGAGACACGGCCCAGACUCCUACGGGAGGCAGCAGUGGGGAAUAUUGCGCAAUGGGGGAAACCCUGACGCAGCAACGCCGCGUGAUUGAAGAAGGCCUUCGGGUUGUAAAGAUCUUUAAUCAGGGACGAAACAAAUGACGGUACCUGAAGAAUAAGCUCCGGCUAACUACGUG